ACGAACGCUGGCGGCGUGCCUCAUACAUGCAAGUCGCGCGAAGUUUUUCUGGUGCUUGCACCGGAAAAACUUAGCGGCGAACGGGUGAGUAACACGUAAAGAACCUGCCUCAUAGACUGGGACAACUAUUGGAAACGAUAGCUAAUACCGGAUAAUAGCAUUAACUGCAUGGUUGAUGUUUAAAAGUUGGUUUUGCUAACACUAUGAGAUGGCUUUGCGGUGCAUUAGCUAGUUGGUGGGGUAAAGGCCUACCAAGGCGACGAUGCAUAGCCGACCUGAGAGGGUGAUCGGCCACACUGGGACUGAGACACGGCCCAGACUCCUACGGGAGGCAGCAGUAGGGAAUCUUCCGCAAUGGGCGAAAGCCUGACGGAGCAACGCCGCGUGAGUGAAGAAGGAUUUCGGUUCGUAAAGCUCUGUUGUUAGGGAAGAAUGAUUGUGUAGUAACUAUACACAGUAGAGACGGUACCUAACCAGAAAGCCACGGCUAACUACGUG
rnacentral:rRNA from 1 species